UCGAGGAUCUUCGGCAAUGGGCGCAAGCCUGACCGAGCGACGCCGCGUGCGGGAUGAAGGCCUUCGGGUUGUAAACCGCUGUCAGAGGGGAUGAAAUCACAGUGGGUACUCCCAUUGUGUUGACAGAGCCUCAGAGGAAGCGCGGGCUAAGUUCGUGCCAGCAGCCGCGGUAAUACGAACUGCGCGAACGUUAUUCGGAAUCACUGGGCUUACAGGGUGCGUAGGCGGCGAGGAAAGUAGGGUGUGAAAUGCCUUGGCUCAACCAAGGCACAGCGCUCUAAACUCCCUCGCUGGAGUGAGUCAGGGGUGCGCGGAACUUCCGGUGGAGCGGUGAAAUGUGUUGAUAUCGGAAGGAACACCGGUGGCGAAAGCGGCGCACUGGGGCUUAACUGACGCUGAGGCACGAAAGCCAGGGUAGCGAACGG
rnacentral:rRNA from 1 species